AGCGAACGCUGGCGGCAGGCCUAACACAUGCAAGUCGAACGAACCUUUCGGGGUUAGUGGCGGACGGGUGAGUAACACGUGGGAACGUGCCUUUAGGUUCGGAAUAACUCAGGGAAACUUGUGCUAAUACCGAAUGUGCCCUUCGGGGGAAAGAUUUAUCGCCGUUAGAGCGGCCCGCGUCUGAUUAGCUAGUUGGUUGAGGUAAUGGCUCACCAAGGCGACGAUCAGUAGCUGGUCUGAGAGGAUGAUCAGCCACAUUGGGACUGAGACACGGCCCAAACUCCUACGGGAGGCAGCAGUGGGGAAUCUAGCGCAAUGGGCGAAAGCCUGACGCAGCCAUGCCGCGUGAAUGAUGAAGGUCUUAGGAUUGUAAAAUUCUUUCACCGGGGACGAUAAUGACGGUACCCGGAGAAGAAGCCCCGGCUAACUUCGUG
rnacentral:rRNA from 1 species